CCAAACUCGACAGCUUACCGUCACGGUGAGCUUCUUCCGACACACAAGCACACCCCUACCGCCCUCUCCCCCUCCGCCUUCGCAUGCCGCCGCAGGAUUACCACACCAACGAGUUUCUGAUGUAAUGAGUCCGAGCCCUUCCGCGGCGACGAGUCGAUAACGCUGUCAACUGUGCAAUGAGGCGCUGCGUGGUGGGCGCUGUGGGCGUGUGCGUCUGUGCUGUGUGUGCCGAAGUGGUGCGCAUGCAGGCACCCCUCGACGCAUGUGUGCGCGUGUGAUGAUACACCAAAGCAGGGAAUCUCUUGUCGAGCGCCGGCGCGCGUCGCCGGCGUGGUGACAUGACACACUUUGAGUAACCGAAUCCAUUCAUUGAAUUGCCUGACCCGUGCGUGUGUGUGUGCGUGUCGGACGCAUGCGUGUGCUCCCACCCCCCCCCAAAUGACGAAUGUGGCAUCUCUCCACGGACACCGCAUUCGCACUGCGGUGCGUGACAUCACUGUUGCCUUCGAACCUAAUGCCAGGGCCGAUGCGGGCGUGGGUGUGGGUGUGCAGCUGAAGAGUGCCCGGACGUGUGCGACUGCGUGAUGAGCUAUAGGUCUACGACGAACAACUCGUCUGAUCACCCUUGUUGAUGACCUCACACACCUUUUGCUUCCUCACUGACUGGCAGUCGCGGCCGCUGUGUGCUUGCGCGCGUGGACGACGGAGCGCGGGGCAAGGCGGUGUGGAGCACGUGCGCACAUGGAGAUGCUGUGUGCGUUGCCGUCUUCGCACUUCCUCAGCCCCCUUCUCGCCUCCCUGCUGCUGCUGCUGCGCCGCUCUGGCGAUGCGCGCUGCGCAGAUGCGCCUCCGGUCGUUUCCGCAGUUGUCGGCUCUCGCUCUCUAUCGGCGGCACAUGAUUCGACACUUGGAUGAACUUGUCCUCCGCAGAGUGCCGCUUCUGCUCUCUGAAGAGGCGCGGCGCGCGUGGUCACUCGCGCAAGCAUUGAGUGAGGACGACUGGAUGUUGCCAUGGCAGCGUUGGCGGCAUCGAGUGCGGGUCGCCGAUGCGAGCACCCUUGCUGCGCCGCGUAGUCAGGAAGACGGCGUUGUCAUGGGCCGCCCAGCGUUUUCUACGUCCUCCUUUUCCUGUUCGGGGUUAUAAGGGGCGAGGGUGUUCUAUCGUGAAGCGGAUGCCUCGUGUAGGCAAUGCCGUAGGCGAGCGGCCGCUGCCGGCCCAUCUGCUACUCGUACAGGCAGGUGAUGUGCAAAGUAGUGGACGGUCACGUGCAGGCCACAAUCCUCGCUGUAUUACUGCUGUCGCGCGCAUGCGCUGCGAGAGACUGAUAAGCCCGGCCCGACCGCGCGGAGCUUGCGACGUGGCGCCUACGGUACGCUGGCUGAGGGCGCAGAAUCGCCCGCGGUCAAGACAACGGGCAUACUGUCCGACGCCUCCUCCACGACUCCCGCGAUCCGAUGCGACCGCAGAACAUGUGGAAGGUACAGCACGCCCACGACCUGCUAGCCUACUGACGGAGAGCACGAGCCCGUUAGCGCCGCCGAGCACGGCAUAUUGCAUCGCAGCGAAGCGUCGCAUGGUGCGGGAGGUAGCGACGAGAGAGUGUGUCGAAUUCCAGGUGGGAGGUCUUGCCUGCAUGUAGAUCACCGCCCCCUCCAAACUGCGGCGCGAGAGGUACAGUACCCCCACCGGUAGCAUGCCGUUCUGCUGGCGGUUCCGUGCGCCCGCGCCUUGUUGGCGAUGGUGCCGCCCCUCAGGGAAAAGCUCCUCGAGCAGGCCGCCUCCGCACGAGUCUUUUGGAGUGGCCCCUCCACCCCCACCACGUCUUCAGGGUACGCCACUUCGAUGUGCUUCACCUCCAUGUUAGUAGGGGAAGGGGUCUGUGGCUCUGCCAGCGCAAG
rnacentral:misc_RNA from 1 species